rnacentral:rRNA from 1 species
GACCAGACUCCUACGGGAGGCAGCAGUGGGGAAUAUUGCACAAUGGGGGAAACCCUGAUGCAGCGACGCCGCGUGAGUGAAGAAGUAUUUCGGUAUGUAAAGCUCUAUCAGCAGGGAAGAAAAUGACGGUACCUGACUAAGAAGCCCCGGCUAACUACGUGCCAGCAGCCGCGGUAAUACGUAGGGGGCAAGCGUUAUCCGGAUUUACUGGGUGUAAAGGGAGCGUAGACGGCAUGGCAAGUCAGAUGUGAAAGCCCGGGGCUCAACCCCGGGACUGCAUUUGAAACUGUCAGGCUGGAGUGCAGGAGAGGUAAGUGGAAUUCCUAGUGUAGCGGUGAAAUGCGUAGAUAUUAGGAGGAACACCAGUGGCGAAGGCGGCUUACUGGACUGUAACUGACGUUGAGGCUCGAAAGCGUGGGGAGCAAACAGGAUUAGAUACCCCGGUAG